GAUGAACGCUGACAGAAUGCUUAACACAUGCAAGUCAACUUGAACUUCGGUUUGGGUGGCGGACGGGUGAGUAACGCGUAAAGAACUUGCCUCACAGAUAGGGACAACAUUUGGAAACGAAUGCUAAUACCUGAUAUUAUGAUUUUAGGGCAUCCUAGGAUUAUGAAAGCUAUAUGCGCUGUGAGAGAGCUUUGCGUCCCAUUAGCUAGUUGGAGAGGUAACGGCUCACCAAGGCGAUGAUGGGUAGCCGGCCUGAGAGGGUGAUCGGCCACAAGGGGACUGAGACACGGCCCUUACCCCUACGGGAGGCAGCAGUGGGGAAUAUUGGACAAUGGACCAAGAGUCUGAUCCAGCAAUUCUGUGUGCACGGUGAAGUUUUUCGGAAUGUAAAGUGCUUUCAGUUGGGAAGAAAAAAAUGACGGUACCAACAGAAGAAGUGACGGCUAAAUACGUG
rnacentral:rRNA from 1 species